rnacentral:rRNA from 1 species
GUUAUAAGGUCAAGUGAAUAAGCGCAUGUGGUGGAUGCCUAGGCGGCAUAAGGCGAUGAAGGACGUAGUAAUCUGCGAUAAGCUUCGGCGAGUUGAUAAACAAACUUUGACCCGGGGAUUUCCGAAUGAGUGAACUCAGUCUACAUAAGUAGAUUAUCUCCAUCUGAAUAUAUAGGAUGGUAGAAGCAAACCUGGAGAACUGAAACAUCUAAGUACCCAGAGGAAAAGAAAUCAAUUGAGAUUUCCUUAGUAGCGGCGAGCGAAAAGGAAACAGCCCAGUUAUUUUAAUCCAUACGACUACUAAUAAAACAAUCUGGAAAGGUUGGCCAAAGAAGGUGAUAGCCCUGUAUGUGAAAGUUUUAAUGUGGUGGAUAACGAUGAGUAGAGCGGGACACGAGAAAUCUUGCUUGAACAUGGGGGGACCAUCCUCCAAGGCUAAAUACUCUAUGCCGACCGAUAGUGAACUAGUACUGUGAAGGAAAGGCGAAAAGAACCCCUGUUAGGGGAGUGAAAUAGAACCUGAAACCGUAUGCGUACAAGCAGUGGGAGCCCUUUCGGGGGUGACUGCGUACCUUUUGUAUAAUGGGUCAGCGACUUACUUUUUGUAGCAAGCUUAACCGUAAUAGGGUAGGCGAAGGGAAACCGAGUCUUAAUAGGGCGUUUAGUUGCUAGGAGUAGACCCGAAACCGGGUGAUCUAUCCAUGGCCAGUGUG